CCUACGGGGGGCAGCAGUGAGGAAUAUUGGUCAAUGGGCGCGAGCCUGAACCAGCCAAGUAGCGUGAAGGAUGACUGCCCUCCGGGUUGUAAACUUCUUUUAUAAAGGAAUAAAGUGAGGCACGUGUGCCUUCUUGUACGUACUUUAUCAAUAAGGAUCGGCUAAGUCCGUGCCAGCAGCCGCGGUAAUACGGAGGAUCCGAGCGUUAUCCGGAUUUAUUGGGUUUAAAGGGAGCGUAGAUGGGUUGUUAAGUCAGUUGUGAAAGGUUCCGUCUCAACCGUAAAAUUGCAAUUGAUACUGGCAGUCGUGAGGACAGUUGAGGUAGGCGGAAUUCGGGGUGUAGCGGUGAAAUGCUUAGAUAUCACGAAGAACUCCGAUUGCGAAGGCAGCUUACUAGACUGCCACUGACAUUGAUGCUCGAAAGUGUGGGUAUCAAACAGGAUUAGAUACCCGUGUAGUC
rnacentral:rRNA from 1 species